UACGGAGAGUGCAAGCGUUAUCCGGAUUCACUGGGUUUAAAGGGUGCGUAGGUGGGCUAGUAAGUCCGUGGUGAAAUCUCCAAGCUUAACUUGGAAACUGCCGUGGAUACUAUUAGUCUUGAAUAUUGUGGAGGUAAGCGGAAUAUGUCAUGUAGCGGUGAAAUGCUUAGAUAUGACAUAGAACACCGAUAGCGAAGGCAGCUUGCUACACAAUCAUUGACACUGAGGCACGAAAGCGUGGGGAUCAAACAGG
rnacentral:rRNA from 1 species